UACGUAGGGCGCAAGCGUUAUCCGGAAUUAUUGGGCGUAAAGCGCACGUAGGCGGUUUUGUAAGUUAGAGGUGAAAGCCCGGGGCUCAACUCCGGAAUUGCCUUUAAGACUGCAUCGCUAGAAUUGUGGAGAGGUAAGUGGAAUUCCGAGUGUAGAGGUGAAAUUCGUAGAUAUUCGGAAGAACACCAGUGGCGAAGGCGACUUACUGGACACAUAUUGACGCUGAGGUGCGAAAGCGUGGGGAGCAAACAGG
rnacentral:rRNA from 1 species